rnacentral:rRNA from 1 species
UGUAGAGUUUKRWACAUGGCUCAGGACGAACGCUGGCGGCGUGCCUAAUACAUGCAAGUCGAGCGGACAGAUGGGAGCUUGCUCCCUGAUGUUAGCGGCGGACGGGUGAGUAACACGUGGGUAACCUGCCUGUAAGACUGGGAUAACUCCGGGAAACCGGGGCUAAUACCGGAUGGUUGUUUGAACCGCAUGGUUCAGACAUAAAAGGUGGCUUCGGCUACCACUUACAGAUGGACCCGCGGCGCAUUAGCUAGUUGGUGAGGUAACGGCUCACCAAGGCRACGAUGCGUAGCCGACCUGAGAGGGUGAUCGGCCACACUGGGACUGAGACACGGCCCAGACUCCUACGGGAGGCAGCAGUAGGGAAUCUUCCGCAAUGGACGAAAGUCUGACGGAGCAACGCCGCGUGAGUGAUGAAGGUUUUCGGAUCGUAAAGCUCUGUUGUUAGGGAAGAACAAGUGCCGUUCAAAUAGGGCGGCACCUUGACGGUACCUAACCAGAAAGCCACGGCUAACUACGUGCCAGCAGCCGCGGUAAUACGUAGGUGGCAAGCGUUGUCCGGAAUUAUUGGGCGUAAAGGGCUCGCAGGCGGUUUCUUAAGUCUGAUGUGAAAGCCCCCGGCUCAACCGGGGAGGGUCAUUGGAAACUGGGGAACUUGAGUGCAGAAGAGGAGAGUGGAAUUCCACGUGUAGCGGUGAAAUGCGUAGAGAUGUGGAGGAACACCAGUGGCGAAGGCGACUCUCUGGUCUGUAACUGACGCUGAGGAGCGAAAGCGUGGGGAGCGAACAGGAUUAGAUACCCUGGUAGUCCACGCCGUAAACGAUGAGUGCUAAGUGUUAGGGGGUUUCCGCCCCUUAGUGCUGCAGCUAACGCAUUAAGCACUCCGGCCG